ACUCCUGCGGGAGGCAGCAGUGGGGAAUAUUGCACAAUGGGCGCAAGCCUGAUGCAGCCAUGCCGCGUGUAUGAAGAAGGCCUUCGGGUUGUAAAGUACUUUCAGCGGGGAGGAAGGCGAUAAGGUUAAUAACCUUGUCGAUUGACGUUACCCGCAGAAGAAGCACCGGCUAACUCCGUGCCAGCAGCCGCGGUAAUACGGAGGGUGCAAGCGUUAAUCGGAAUUACUGGGCGUAAAGCGCACGCAGGCGGUCUGUCAAGUCGGAUGUGAAAUCCCCGGGCUCAACCUGGGAACUGCAUUCGAAACUGGCAGGCUAGAGUCUUGUAGAGGGGGGUAGAAUUCCAGGUGUAGCGGUGAAAUGCGUAGAGAUCUGGAGGAAUACCGGUGGCGAAGGCGGCCCCCUGGACAAAGACUGACGCUCAGGUGCGAAAGCGUGGGGAGCAAACAGGAUUAGAAACCCGAGUAGUCCCAUG
rnacentral:rRNA from 1 species